ACUUCUGACCUAGUCAAUUAAAUAUUCACCGCGCAGCAUUAUACCACACAGUUUUCUGUUUGUUCCGUGUCCGGAGUUGCAAAUCCUUGUUUCUACUGCGAGCAAAAUCAUGGUCCUCCUCAAGCUGCUCCUGACAGGGGCACUCCUUUGCUGUGGAGCUGCUCGAACGACCAAUAAGCCAGCUUCCUGCCGCUACUGGUGCCGGAGUUCAGUGUUUCCACCAUCGUACUAUUGCUGUCCUGACGGAGGUGUGAAGCGAGGGAGCUGUCCGAUAAUCGUUCAGUGUACCCGGUAUAUCCGGCAGAGUUUGUUACGAUGCUCAUCAGACAGUGACUGCGCUGGAAACAAUAAAUGCUGCUACGAGCCGUGUUAUUGCACCUACGUGUGUCUCACUCCUGUCGUACAACCCCCUAAAACAAAUACAACAUCAUAAUAAGAACCACUGUCAAUGACAUACUCCAACACCACAAAAGUGUCAACUGAAAUAAAAAAGUAAAUUCCUAAGCACUUCACAAAUUGAAUCGUUACUUAGUUUAGACAUCUGGUUGUAGAUUCACUGAAGUACAGAGUUGUACAAGACAUA